ACUACUUCAAGAAUUCUUCAUGUAUCAGAGCAUGAUGAAGCUCUAAUGAGCAAUCCUCAAAGUCCAUCAAUGGAGUCAUCUUCCAUUCCUUCGAAUCUCAAUCUGCUGAUAUCAAAUCUUAGUUCUCUUGUAAUAGUGAGUCAUCUUCUAUUCCUUCGAAUCUCAAUUUGCUGAUAUCAAAUCUCAGUUCUCUUGUAACAGUGAAGCUAGAUCGCUCGAAUUUUGUUAUUUGGAAGAAUCAAAUACAAAAUCUGUUUCAAGCAACUAAUCUACUCACAAUUGUUGAUGGAUCAAAGAAGUGUCCUGUUGAUACAGUGCAAAAUGCUGCAGGAAUGGAGGUUCCAAAUCUAGAAGUUGUUAAAUGGAAGAUGAUCAAUGCACAUCUACUUAGCUGCAUAACUACUACUCUCUCUCUUGCGAUUUUCACUUCAAUAUUGCAUCUUCACACGAGUGCUCAGGUUUUUUCUUGGGCAUAAUUGGACAAUUUCCAUCCAGUAUAUCUAUCGAGAGGCACACAUGUUAGUGGACAAGCUUGCCAAACAGUGGCGGGGGGAAGUGAGGACCAGGGGGACAAGCUUGCAGCAAAAGAGAACUUUAUUGAUGACAAAAACAUACACAUACAUAUGAGUUGAACAUCAAUAAAUAGGAGGAAGAGCAGCAGUGCAUCAAAGCUAACAACCCAAUCCCAACUAGGUUGGCACCGGGAAGAAAGCCCAAUCAUCUGCGAGCUCAACCACAAAGGGAUGGUGAGAGACCAUGCCCAGAAAUGAAAUAGAGACCCCAAAAACUCAACCCCCAAUUCACCAUGCAACCCCCAAAAAGAAUUCCAGCAGAGCAGAGCAGACCAAUUCAUCUAUAAUCACCCCCUAUCUAUCAGCAGCAGACCAGCAGAUGAUUGGGGUUGGCAUCAUCUAUCCAAUAUUGCACCAUAUGAUUCUACUCGACAGAUUCAUGAAGCAGGCAUAGCAGCAGACAACCACCAAUAGCUUAGCAGCAUCACACCAGAUAUUAGUGCAUUAGCAAACCAAAAAGAAGAGUCCAUUCUAAUAUUUUCCUGUCAAUCCGCACCUACAGACCAGCACCAGAAACAGGUCACAGAACAGCGGCAGCCAAUUCUGACCAAGGAAUUCAGUCCACCACCCAAUUCAUACAACAUCAGCCAAAACAAGGUACCCAUCUGGGGAAGUUGGAGAAUUCACCAUUCAGACCAGUGCAACACACAGGUCACAGUAGCUAUUCAGACAUGAAGAAUGCUGCCACUACACCAGAAUAGUGCAGAUAAAUCCAUAACAAUGACAGAAAGAAGCUUAUACACCAGCCAUUGAUGCCUAUUGAUCCAUCCACAAUCCAACUAACCAGCUUACAGACAUGGACACAUCCUCAGUCCCUUAAUCUAUACACAGUUGCAGACCUGCUUCAGGUUAUACAACAUAUCAUGCACCGAGUAAUUAAACUCUCUCAAGGAAGAUACAGUCCACAUAGCAACUCUCUCAUUAUUAUUGACAUGCAAGUAUAAGUAAUCUCACUAUAAAGAUAUGAAAUUUAUUAGAUUGCAUUUGACAUGUAAGGUUCACUCUAUAUGUGUUUAUUUUUUAUUAAUUCGUGAUAUCACAUACUAAUAAUGACAUGAUAUUACCAUUA